ensembl:snRNA U6 U6 spliceosomal RNA
AUGCUCCCUUCGGCAGCACAUAUAUUAAAAUUAGAACAAUAUAGAGAAGAUUAGCAUGCUCCUUGCCCAAGGAUGAGACCCAAAUAUGUGAAGUGUUCCAUAUUUUU